rnacentral:rRNA from 1 species
AACGAACGCUGGCGGCAUGCCUAACACAUGCAAGUCGAACGAAACCAUCGGGUCUAGUGGCGCAUGGGUGCGUAACGCGUGGGAACCUGCCCUUAGGUUCGGAAUAACUCCCCGAAAGGGGUGCUAAUACCGGAUAAUAUCUUCGGACCAAAGAUUUAUCGCCUUUGGAUGGGCCCGCGUUGGAUUAGCUAGUUGUUAGGGUAAAAGCCUACCAAGGCGACGAUCCAUAGCUGGUCAGAGAGGAUGAUCAGCCACACUGGGACUGAGACACGGCCCAGACUCCUACGGGAGGCAGCAGUGGGGAAUAUUGGACAAUGGGCGAAAGCCUGAUCCAGCAAUGCCGCGUAAGUGAUGAAGGCCUUAGGGUUGUAAAGCUCUUUUACCCGGGAUGAUAAUGACAGUACCGGGAGAAUAAGCUCCGGCUAACUCCGUG